GAGUUUGAUACUGGCUCAGAUUGAACGCUGGCGGUAUGCCUAACACAUGCAAGUCGAACGAGGUAGCAAUACCUAGUGGCGGACGGGUGAGGAAUACGUAGGGAUCUGCCUUUAAGUGGGGGAUAACCCGGGGAAACCCGGAUUAAUACCGCAUGAUCUCGCAAGAGCAAAGUGGGGGAUCGCAAGACCUCACGCUUUUAGAGGAACCUACGUCGGAUUAGCUUGUUGGUGAGGUAAUGGCUCACCAAGGCCAUGAUCAGUAGCUGGUUUGAGAGAACGAUCAGCCACACUGGGACUGAGACACGGCCCAGACUCCUACGGGAGGCAGCAGUGGGGAAUAUU
rnacentral:rRNA from 1 species